AGUGGCGAACGGGUGAGCCACACGUAGAUGACCUGCCUUAAAGCGGGGGACAACCAGUGGAAACGCUGGCUAAUACCCCAUGUACUCGGUAUAACUAGAAGAUAUUGAGGAAAGGAUUUAUCCACUUUAAGAGGGGUCUGCGGGCUAUCAGCUAGUUGGUGAGGUAAAGGCUCACCAAGGCGAAGACGGCUAGGGGACGUGAGAGCGUGACCCCCCACAAUGGGACUGAGACACGGCCCAU
rnacentral:rRNA from 1 species